UUUUUUAAGAGAUUUUAUUUAAUUAUUUGAAAGAGACACAGUGAGAGAGGACAUACAAGCAGUGGGGAGUGGAGAGAGGGAAGCAGGCUCCCUGCUGAGCAGAGAGCCC